CAAUAAACGAGGAAAAGAAACCAACAGGGAUUGCCUCAGUAACGGCGAGUGAAGCGGCAACAGCUCAAAUUUUAAAGCUGGCGUCUUUGACGUCCGCAUUGUAAUUUGGAGAGGCAUCUUCGGUUUGGGCGCCAGCCUAUGUUCCUUGGAACAGGACGUCACAGAGGGUGAGAAUCCCGUGCUUGGCUGGCUGUCCCAUUCCAUGUGAAGUGUCUUCGACGAGUCGAGUUGUUUGGGAAUGCAGCUCAAAAUGGGUGGUAAAUUUCAUCUAAAGCUAAAUAUUGGCGGGAGACCGAUAGCGCACAAGUAGAGUGAUCGAAAGAUGAAAAGCACUUUGAAAAUAGAGUUAAAAAGUACGUGAAAUUGUUGAAAGGGAAGCGCUUGAGACCAGACUCGGCCGGGGAUGAUCAGCGGCCCUUCUGGGCCGUGCACUUGUCUUCGGUCGGGCCAGCAUCGGUUGAGGCGGCGGGAUAAAGGCUCGGGGAAUGUGGCUCCCGUCAGGGAGUGUUAUAGCCCCGGGUGCAAUGCCGCCAGCCUCGACCGAGGACCGCGCUUCGUGCUAGGAUGCUGGCUUAAUGGUCUUCAGCGACCCGUCUUGAAACACGGACCAAGGAGUCUAACAUCUAUGCGAGUGUUUGGGUGUCAAACCCUUGCGCGUAAUGAAAGUGAACGGAGGUGGGAACCCUUCACGGGGUGCACCAUCGACCGAUCCUGAUGUCUUCGGAUGGAUUUGAGUAGGAGCAUAGCUGUUGGGACCCGAAAGAUGGUGAACUAUGCCUGAAUAGGGUGAAGCCAGAGGAAACUCUGGUGGAGGCUCGCAGCGGUUCUGACGUGCAAAUCGAUCGUCAAAUUUGGGUAUAGGGGCGAAAGACUAAUCGAACCAUCUAGUAGCUGGGUCCUGC
rnacentral:rRNA from 1 species